CUUGGUCUUAAUCCUGUGAGUUUGGAGAAAACUAGAUAAUUUCAUUCAAGUUGAUUUACUCUUAAGUCUGAAAUGAAAGCCUUAACGUACAUGGUGGGGCUGUAUCAUUGGGACACCCAUUAGGAUGCAGUGGAGCUCGUAUCUUGGUCACAUUGUUAGGGCUACAUGAUUUUGAUACGUGCAUUGCAAAAAAUGAAGAAGCUAUUCAAAUUGAUCCUCACUUUGCUGAGUGUUAUGGAAACAUGGAAAAUGCUU